UGAAAACAUAUCCGUAUACCGACCUCAAGAACCUGAUAAAAAUUCACUGUACAAAUAGAUGGCAAAAUCAUUGGGAAAAAUUAGGUAGCAAAUUAAAUGAAAUCUACCCAAAAAUAAAUAUUGUCCUGGAUAAUCCUCCCAACAGAAGAAACCAAGUUUUCAUUAACCGUCUAAGAAUUGGCCAUACUGCCUUAACACACAAAUA
rnacentral:lncRNA from 1 species